AGAGGGUGCAAGCGUUAAUCGGAAUUACUGGGCGUAAAGGGUGCGUAGGUGGUUAUAUAAGUUGACUGUGAAAUCUCUGGGCUUAACCUGGAGAGGUGAGUCAAGACUGUAUGACUAGAGAUUGGGAGAGGGAAGAGGAAUUUCCGGUGUAGCGGUGAAAUGCGUAGAUAUCGGAAGGAACACCAGUGGCGAAGGCGUCUUCCUGGCCUAAGACUGACACUGAGGCACGAAAGCGUGGGGGAGCAAACAGGAUUAGAUACCCUGGUAGUCCACGCUGUAAACGAUGAGAACUAGCUGUUGGUCGCCCAUGAGCGAUAAGUAGCGUAGCAAACGCGCUAAGUUCUCCGCCUGGGGAGUACGGCCGCAAGGCUA
rnacentral:rRNA from 1 species